rnacentral:lncRNA from 1 species
AGAAGGAUAACAUGACAUAGCAGGAAUAAUACUGCCUUUUCUUUCUGGCAUGGAUCAAGAGAAAAGAAAAUACAAGAAAACAGACAGAAGAUCCUAUCUGCGACAAUUAAGAGCACUCUAAGAGGAAAACACAUCCCACCACACAAGGCAAGGUACUUCUAUGGAAGGGUGAGCCCUCACAGAUGGAGCAAUGGGGCGCGCACACCUGAACAAGGGAGGGGAAGGAGUUCUUAUCCCUGAUGCAUGUGACCCCUGCUGCUGUGUCCUUCCCCUAUUGGCUAAGGCUUCUGACAGCUUUGGAGAUUGUGACAUUGGAAUAAAGGAAAAACGUACAGGACUCAUGAAGCGCUGAAAUGUUCACAAAUAUCAAGCAAAAGUCAAUGAAAUUUAUUUUGAGCUAUUUACAUCAUUUAAUAAUUGAGCAAGGUAUACUCCUAUGAACAAAAUUUGGAGCAUGUUUGUCUCUCUCUGCCUGGCGUCUUCAGAAUUUGGAAACUAGUUAUGGUUUAUAAUCAGCUAUAGAAUUUUAACACGUGCUCUCAAAUGCAAGUUUCUGAUAACUUUGGAGAUUGUGACAUUGGAAUAAAGGAAGAGCUGGAAUGUUCAUGAAUAUCAAGCAAAAGUCAUGGAAAUUUAUUUUGAGCUAUUUACAGCAUUUAAUAAUUGAGCAAGGUAUACUCCUAUGAACAAAAUUUGGAGCAUGUUUGUCUCUCUCUGUCUGCCUGGCAUCUACAGAAUUUGGAAACUAGUUUCGUUCCCAGAUUUCCUAAACUUUCCAGAGAAAAUGGUCUUCUCCCUGGCUCAGCAAGAAGAUGAACUUUAAACACUGAGAAACUGGUCAUCUCCCUGGCUCAACCAGAAGAUGAACUUUAAACACUACUCUCAAUGACUUGAUGUUCCCAUCACUACUCCUGUCAUAAAGGGAGGGGACUCAGAUAUUGAGAAUUUUAUGAUAGUGUGAACUGUCUGCUGUCAGCCAGGAGGGCAGAGCUGAAAUUUAUUGCCACAUCACAUGAAGCAUAGAACAGACUCCACUACUCCUUGAGAUUCAAAACUUUGCCUCUCACAAAGUUACCUUUUAUUUUCCUCUUGUUUGUCACUCAUCUCCCCUAGUGUGCUCUUUUUAUUUCUUUUACUAUUAAUAAUAAAAUCUGUGGAUGACUGUA